GCUGACUGGAAUUCUCUAUUCUCCUGGGACCACCCUGUAUUAUUUCUAUCUCACCACAGUCUUACUCAAGAAAAUACUGAUGCAAGGACAUCUGCCCAGCAAAUGCCUGUCCAAGCUUGGACUGGUGCCACCCUUGUUAUUGGUUCUUACAGCCAAAAAUAAGUGUCUCAAGAUAAUUAUGUAUCCUUUCCAUUUUUUCCUUAAAAAUCUAUGUCUUUCUUUACUUUCCUGAAUAUGCACAUAGUUUACAAUAGCAUGCAUAUUCCCAUUGCAAUGCCUAAUCCUGAAAAACAUUUAUUUAUCUUCUGGAGAGUCUCCCUCUCUCUUAUUUAGAUUGACGUAAUGAUGCCUCAGAAGUGCAACUGAAGUUGACUGACCUUGGACAAAUCAGCGUCCACUGGGAAUCCAGCACAAUGGUGACUGAGCCCUUUGUUCUCUCUGUUUCCAAGAGUCACAUUUCUGUCCUGUGAAUCUCGUCUAGAAUUCUCGGACUCCUUCCUCUUGGAUACAAAUGGAAACAUUGGUUAUAUCACCAAGACUUUGAUUAGAAUGUUAUAUUUGGGAAUAUGCAUAGACUGCCUAGCUUCAAGGGUUCUGAGCCUCACAGUGAGUGAAUAGAAAAUUGUGACCUCUUGGAAGUCCCAGGAACCUCAAGAUAUUAG
rnacentral:lncRNA from 1 species